GCAGAGAACUGACUUGAGCGUCGGAGGGUCUUGCCGAAACAACUCCACCUUCGAUUUAGACUUCUUUUGCAGGUUCCGACGGUGACCGCGACUCCCUCGACUCCAGUUUCUCCGACGCAGGCGGAUUUCUGCACCAACAAGAUUGGCGCUAGAGGAAGGGCUAUGUCUUCACAGUAUCCUUGUUCUUAAAGGAGCGCUCAACGGGAUCGCCCCUGAUCAUCUUCUCCGACAUCCACUCCUCCUUCCCCCACUUGAUCUUCGCCCGAUGCCUCCCCGCAAGGCAUCCACACGGCGAUCCACAGCCUCUGCGG
rnacentral:lncRNA from 1 species